rnacentral:miRNA from 1 species
UCUUCCUCAUUGACCGGAAGGAAUCCCUUCCGGUCAAUGAGGUUUAGCUUCCUCACUGACCGGAAGGGGUUCCUUCCGGUCAAGUGGGAGCA